UACGAAGGGGGCUAGCGUUGUUCGGAUUUACUGGGCGUAAAGCGCACGUAGGCGGAUCGUUAAGUCGGGGGUGAAAUCCUGGAGCUCAACUCCAGAACUGCCUUCGAUACUGGCGAUCUUGAGUCCGGAAGAGGUGAGUGGAACUCCUAGUGUAGAGGUGGAAUUCGUAGAUAUUCGCAAGAACACCAGUGGCGAAGGCGGCUCACUGGCCCGAUACUGACGCUGAGGCACGAAAGCGUGGGGAGCAAACGGG
rnacentral:rRNA from 1 species